CCCGCUGAACUUAAGCAUAUUAUUAAGCGGAGGAAAAGAAACUAACAAGGAUGCCCUCAGUAACGGCGAGUGAAGCGGCAAUAGCUCAAAUUUGAAAUCUGGCCUCUGGCCCGAAUUGUAAUUUGUAGAGGAUGCUUCGAGGAUGGUCCAGUCUAAGUUCCUUGGAACAGGACGUCAUAGAGGGUGAGAAUCCCGUAUGCGACUGGGUGCCUAAGCUCAUGUGAAGCUCCUUCGACGAGUCGAGUUGUUUGGGAAUGCAGCUCAAAAUGGGUGGUAAAUUUCAUCUAAAGCUAAAUACUGGCCAGAGACCGAUAGCGCACAAGUAGAGUGAUCGAAAGAUGAAAAGCACUUUGGAAAGAGAGUUAAACAGUACGUGAAAUUGUUGAAAGGGAAGCGCUUGCAACUAGACUUGCAUGCAGUCGAUCAUCCGAUGUUCUCACUGGUGCACUCGAUUGCAUUCAGGCCAGCAUCGGUUUCGGUGGUUAGAUAAAGGCCUUGGGAAUGUAGCUUCUCUCGGGGAGUGUUAUAGCCCAAGGUGCAAUGUAGCCUACCGGGACCGAGGACCGCGCUUCGGCUAGGAUGCUGGCGUAAUGGUUGUAAGCGACCCGUCUUGAAACACGG
rnacentral:rRNA from 1 species